rnacentral:rRNA from 1 species
AUUGAACGCUGGCGGCAUGCUUUACACAUGCAAGUCGAACGGCAGCGCGGGCUUCGGCCUGGCGGCGAGUGGCGAACAGGUGAGUAAUAUAUCGGAACGUACCCAAGAGUGGGGGAUAACGUAGCGAAAGUUACGCUAAUACCGCAUACGAUCUAAGGAUGAAAGCAGGGGAUCGCAAGACCUUGUGCUCCUGGAGCGGCCGAUAUCUGAUUAGCUAGUUGGUGGGGUAAAGGCCCACCAAGGCAACGAUCAGUAGCUGGUCUGAGAGGACGACCAGCCACACUGGAACUGAGACACGGUCCAGACUCCUACGGAGGCAGCAGUGGGGAAUUUUGG